ensembl:lncRNA
CUCCCGUGGGGCCAGCACUGCACCUGUUCCGUGGAGCCCAGGUGGUCUGAAACGUGAUUAAUUUGGCUCAGGAAUGAAUAUAGGAGUUACCUAUCUUCCCUCCUACUGGUAACAGCCUGCGUGUGAUCGUGAAAAGCUGCAGAAGAGAGUCCCUUUGUGAUGAUUCUGAAGAUUUAUGUGGAAACCUAUGGCUGGAAGGUAAAAAAUGAGAACAGAACAGAAGAUUGGGAUGAGUACGUGGAAGUUUAAAUUGCUGAACAUCUACACCAGGGGUCUUGUGGCACACCAUCCUGCGAGACCACAGGAAAGGCUCCAAAUGUCCCUUCUUGUGCACGCAGCUCAGACAACCUGGAGCUGUUUUAGUACGGGG